rnacentral:snoRNA from 1 species
AAUAUCAUACUUCACAGGAUCAUUUCUGUAGUAUAUCUUCAAAACUGCUUAGCGUAAAGCUGAGUCGAUGCAACUACGAUGACGAGUUGUAGUUCUCUUCCUUGAGCGUGAGGACGAUUUAGAAUCUUGGCUUUAACGUCAAGAUUCUAGUCACCGAUGAUCGUUCACUCCUUUUACUCGGUAGAGGGAGCUACGGGAAGCAGAGCUUUCUGAGUAGA